UACAGAGGGUGCAAGCGUUAAUCGGAAUUACUGGGCGUAAAGCGUGCGUAGACGGUAGCGUAAGUCGGGUGUGAAAGCCCCGGGCUCAACCUGGGAAUUGCAUUCGAGACUGCUCUGCUAGGGUGCGGAAGAGGGAAGCGGAAUUUCCGGUGUAGCGGUGAAAUGCGUAGAUAUCGGAAGGAACACCAGUGGCGAAAGCGGCUUCCUGGUCCAGCACCGACGUUCAGGCACGAAAGCGUGGGGAGCAAACAAG
rnacentral:rRNA from 1 species